rnacentral:lncRNA from 1 species
CGUUGUCAAAUACAUUUAAUCAGUUUAUUAAAUGGUCUUUAAAAAUGCUUUGUGCUUUGAUAAAUUUGGGUACAGCAGGCUCAGGAGGCAGUUUGCUCCCAUGUAAUUCAAGAAAAUGUACAAUCCUUCAACAUCCAGUUCUCAGCUGACUGCUCCCACACAUUUAUUGCCUCUGGCUCUUCCCCAAUUUGUAGGACUGUGGGUGUGUACUUUGGGAAACUCCAUGAAGAAGGACUGGAAGGUGAAAAGUGUUAUACAGAUAAGUGAUCUGCUUGGAGCUUUUUGGCCUUCCCUCCUGGCCUUGGUCUUCUCAGUCACCUGCAAAGCAGGUCCCUGGAUCUCUUCGGGAAUAAGAGACUCCAAAAAUCUGCCUCAGACCAAUAGUCUGAGAUUGGUGACCUAUGUGCUCUCUAGCAGCACAUUUAUGGGUGGCCUUUGCUGCUCACCUUUUAAAUGCCUGGAAAGGUUCUAACAUAGAGAGAAGGGGGUAGAUGCAAUAUUAUAAAGCCAAUACUUCCUAUCAUUUAUUGAGCAACUGCUAAAUGUUAGGCUAUGCUGAGUACUUGGUAUUUUCUCUAUUUCUCAUGGCAACCUUGUGAGAGAGUCAUUAUCUCUCAUUUUACAGACCAGCCAAAGGAUCUCAGAGAAACACCUGCUCAGGACUACUCAACAAGUAUAUGGUGGAGCCACCUGCCAACCUGCUACCUUAAACUGUCAUUCAAACUAUCUACAUAUCAACUGUCAUCUGCUCUAUAUUGUUGGGGCUUAAGGUCACUGCACAUCUUUUGCAUUCGUUAGAUAGGUCUGGAAACUUGAAUCUCUGGAAUAUGCAAAAUGCCCCCUUCACCACCAAGAAAGGACCAUCCUGGUCCCUGAUCCCCGGGGGCA